AUUGAACGCUGGCGGCAGGCCUAACACAUGCAAGUCGAGCGGAUGAAGGGAGCUUGCUCCUGGAUUCAGCGGCGGACGUGUGAGUAAUGCCUAGGAAUCUGCCUGUUAGUGGGGGAUAACGUCCGGAAACGGGCGCUAAUACCGCAUACGUCCUGAGGGAGAAAGUGGGGGAUCUUCGGACCUCACGCUAUCAGAUGAGCCUAGGUCGGAUUAGCUAGUUGGUGGGGUAAAGGCCUACCAAGGCGACGAUCCGUAACUGGUCUGAGAGGAUGAUCAGUCACACUGGAACUGAGACACGGUCCAGACUCCUACGGGAGGCAGCAGUGGGGAAUAUUGGACAAUGGGCGAAAGCCUGAUCCAGCCAUGCCGCGUGUGUGAAGAAGGUCUUCGGAUUGUAAAGCACUUUAAGUUGGGAGGAAGGGCAGUAAGUUAAUACCUUGCUGUUUUGACGUUACCAACAGAAUAAGCACCGGCUAACUUCGUG
rnacentral:rRNA from 1 species